UUUUUUGUAGGUAAUUUUCAAAGCAACUCAGUUGUCAAGGCUUUGGUCUUUGCUUCUUAAAGAAGACGAAGGCAUUGAAGUAAUCGCGAAGUGCAAGCUUUUAGAGAAGCGUAUGAUGGAGCUCUUCUCUACUUUUGGGUGGAACUUUAGAAGAAGGAUUGAAGCUUAGCUUUUAGUUCCUCUUGCUUGUUAUCCAUCUUUAAAACUUAUUUAUGCUUUACCCAUGUAACGGGAGAGUCUUAUGUACUCGUGUUUGUGACUUUUAGGCUGUGUACACCCUCACAAGGUGUAGAGGCCGGGUUUUUUAUAAUCCAUUAUCUAAAAAAAAAGAUGAAAACAAUGGUUUCAUCACAGGAACAAAUGGUCCAGAAGGGACAGACACCUUGGAUGACAUUGUUGCUGAGCUGUUUAAUGAUGUAAGAUACUCUCCUUUUUCCUGCAGAUCGGCAGCUCGUUUUAUUCUUCUUUUCUCUCUGGUUUCGAUUUUUCUUCACAUACCUGUAGCCAGUAUUCACUACACUGCUUGAUUCAUACCGUUGGUUCAUGCUUAUAAUAUUGAAACAUUGGGCAUCUUUGAAGUAUAUUUCGUUUCGGCUUGCACUUUACACUUGGAAUUCGCUGAGAAGUGCAUCUGAAUGGAACUUAUUUUCUCACUGCAGGAUUUCAUGGAAGGUUAUGAUGCUGUCGUAGAUGGAGACCAGGAUUUUGUUCCUUAGUCCUGACUAUGUGAGAUAUGUUCUGUAUCUGCAUAGGCUAGCUGCUGAUUUAAUCCAUGGCUGUUGCACAUUGUGUGUGCAAAAUUGUGCCAAUUGUAAUAGGCUAGUUAGAAGCAGGUCAUCUUCAGAAAAAGCCCCAUUUCCAUCUAGAGUAGUCAGCUCAACAAAAGAUUUUAGCUUCGUCGUGGUUUUUGAGAUCAUAAAAAAACACAUUGAAGUUUUGUCAGGUUGAACGUGUUCUGAUUGAUGUGUUAGAUGGUUAAAUGGAAUAAUUUUCAUGAAUUAUUCGAAAUGGUGCGCUUUAUCCAGUUUUUAUCUGGCAAUACUUUUUUUUUUUCGGGAAUACAUCUGGCAAUACUGUUCCUUUCUUAGAAUUAUAGAGAUAACGCUUGUUUUACAUGCAUGACCAUUUACUGUGCAGAUAUAGAACCAAUUAUUUACUGGGAGAUAAAUGGAACCAUGGAAUAUUUGGGUGUCACAAUUUCUGAUUCUGACUGGGUGUAAGUGGGUAAGCCGCGAACCCACUUAUAGGUCAAAAUAAACGAGUUUGUGGCUUAUUUUGGCCUAUAAGUGGGUUUCGCGGGUUAGCCGCUUACAACCUUUCUGAGUGACUUAUUGAGUUUCCACUGUAUGUUACCUUAAUUUAAUUUUCUGUCUAACAGCCUGCAAGAAAGAAAAAUUCCUUUUCCUUAUUUUUUCCAUGUAGCCAAAAACAGUUGAUUACUGUGUAGACAGUCUCAUGUUUCGAUUGUCUGUCGCAGUAACUGCAUCUUCUCAUUUUGAUAUCUGUGCAAGGUCCUCGUUGUACUGAUCUAUCCAUCCCUGUAUGAUCUUAACUUCUUGUCUUCGUUGUUCUACAACCCAAUCUGGAUCAUCUUUAGUUGCUGAUCUGAAGUCCAAAUGAUGAGCUCCUGUACAAAUGGUAUCAGCAUAAGUCUGUCUGAAAAUAUUUUGACUUUACACGUUAUCUUCAGAAUCUUGUUUACCUUUCUCCGUGACAAGGGCAAUGAUACUAGAUGAUAUGUUCUUGAGCACCCUGAUUGCAAAGCAGUAGGGAGGGAUAAAUACAUUAUGGUUUGCUACAGCUGAAAAGUUUAUCUGAAUUACUGAAACUUAUAACAUGAAUGAUCAAAUGGUGAAAUCUUUCAGGCAUACCCGCCACGGCUCCAUGGGUCUCGCAUUCCGUUGGAGAAGAUGAUGUUGCUCCCAAACCUCUUGAGCACCAGGUCAAUUCUCUGUAUCAAAAUGUGGAAUGCAACACCAGGUGAAACACUUCGAAAACCUAUCAAUGUUGCUACUACCUGUUCAUAUCUGAAACUGCAAACCUGAAACAACACUCACAUUUCCACCAUAUUCAGUGGUGAUCCAGUGUGGUCUCGGACGAACACCGUAGCUCUGGAAACAGUCAUCAGAUUUCCCCUCAUAAGUGAAGGUGAAUGGAGGGAACAUGCUCUCGUUCGAUAUCGUCAUCGGCAUGACCAUUUCUGUGCAGGCCUGCAAGAGAAGUUGCUUCAGAAAACACAACUAGUAUCUAUCUCAGUAUUGUCAGUGGCAUUGUAUCAAUCACCUGCCAUCCCCAACCACUGAGGCCAUGGGGGUCUUCUCCAUCCUCUAACUGGAAGCAUGUUUGAUCUCCUGUGUAAUUGUAGUACAGACUCGCCGCUGCGAAAGCUUUGUCAACGAUGUCUGCUCCUGCAGGGAAGCCGUGGAUGAUCUUGCACAUCUGUAGAAAUUUCAUGAGAAAUUUACUGAGAACUGAAAUUCCCUGGGAAUUAUAUGUUCAGUGAGACAGAAGAACAGGCAUGGUUUCUGCUCAGCUCAGUUUGGUGUUUCUGACACAAUCUUGGUUAUGCAUUUGGUUGAAAUGUAGAGAGGAGAUUUGGACAUUGUUUGCAGAACAUAGGUAGAGAUGGCAACCUCCUUGAUAGGAUAGGCAGGCAGAUUCAUCAGGAAAUUGGCCGGGGUUGGAUAGUCCACCAUGGCUGUGUACACAAAUGCUGUCCAUAGCCAGUUUCUGAACGAGUAAACCGAUUUCACAGUCCUAAAAUUUGAGGGAGGAAAAAGGCAAUAUUGUGAACUCAGGUUAGUGUAAAUCCAAUCAAUGUCAUUCUUCAUCUAUUCAGAAGUUGGGAAGAUGACCUUUAAUCAAAGAAUGAUCAUGGCUGUCAUAUAUAUAACUGAUAAGGUCUAUGUCAUUUUUUUACAUAAACCUGUUCUGUCUGGUAUCUUAUCUAUCAAUAUAUUAGGCAAUCCUUAUUGCCUUCUUAAAAAUGGAUAAGUUUUAUGCCACCUGUAAAUUUAUAUAGUUUCUUACACAUCACGACAAUGAAGCAUAAUUACUUGAAUUUGUGUGUGUAUAUUAUCCUUUUCUGAAUCUGCAUGCUAUUUUUCUUUUCUUGGUAUUGUUUGGUUGAUCACUUGCACUGCACACAUCUGGAAUAUAAUAAUUACAAUGAUCUCAAUUUUCUGUUUUCCUUUAUAUCUAAUAAGACUAUAAGACGUGGAUAAAAUUUUGGAUAUUCGUGGCACGUUUUUCAAACUACUAAAUGGUGCGUUUCGUGCGAAAACUUUCUAUAUGAAAGUUGCUCUAAAAUAUCAUAUUAAUCUAUUUUUUAAGUUUGUAGUAAUUAAAACUCAAUUAAUCAUAUGUUAAUACCACCUCGUUUUACGUAAAACACUUAAUCUUAUUUUUCAUCUUUAUCUUUAGGAGAAAAGAACACCACCUAGGUAGUGUAUUAAACCAGCAAUAAACUUACUUGCAGGCUCUGAAGGUUUUGCUGAGCUGUAAGAGCCCUGCAUCAGUGGAUCCCCUCUCAUCUAUCAAAUCCCAAGCUGCCUUGAUAACACUGAAGCAAUUGAAGCUUUCAGACUGCAAUAUCAGUUGCAAGUUAUAGUCAGUUUACAAAAAGAUUAAUCGAUGGUCAGUCACACAAAGAUGCCAAAUCUUACUCGGAAAAAAAAUAGAUCUGGUAAAAAAAAGAGUAAACAGCUCAGUCAAGUGGUUGCUUCUAUGAAAUACAUUUUUGACAAAUCGAAGAGAAGAUUUAUAGCCAGUCGCCAAGAAAGCGACUUUAAGGUCCUGUUCUUAAUGUCCGUAUCCGUGGAUUAUUUGUGGAUUAUUCAUACCACACUUUCAAAAGUACGAUUUCUCGACAAACUUUCUAAUAGAUCACUCAUCAGCCCUCUCCACAUUUCAUUGGGCAUUUGGGCCCUUAAAAAGCAGCAACCAUGUCUGUACUCUUGAUAAGCCUAUGGCGUGGUCACUCAAGCGUCGCAAUCUAGCUAAUUAAACAGUAUAAUCACAAUCAGCCAUGCAGGUUGCAUGGUCUUCAGGGCCUUGUCUACCUGAAUCAGGUUGCCAUUUCAAUCCAGCAUUUAAGCUGAAUGUACAUGAACAGUGCAGAGGCUAAUAGUCCAUCAUAACAAAUCCAUCAACUACUAACUAACUAUACCGGCAAAUGCUCAAUGAUCAUUCAUCAUUGGACUUGUAGUGUAGGCAAUCAGCUGCAGGAGGAGACAUGGCUGCCAUGCUUACCAACUUCAAGCCAACACGUACUGUCAGUUACAGUAGAUGUACUGCAUGCUGUGACUGACAGGUCAAAAGAUGACGAUUUUUACUGUACGUGACAACGGUCCAGUGACAAUGACAGUGGGCCACACCUAGAUAUUUUUCUUUCGUCAGAUUUCCAGACAAACUGGCACCGGUCGGUCAGUAGUUGACUUUCAACAUCUAAUGCACAAUUUCCUUAAACAGUUCUAUGAAAUUAUGCAUCCCAAAAUAAACCUGUCCUUGAACAUAAAUAUUAAUUUUGGUUACAAAACGCAUAACUAGUUUUCAUUAGUAAGAUUUGAUUUGGUUAAAAAAAAUACCGAUACCUCACAGUGCCAAAUCGUUUUCAAUCAUUGGAUCUAGCUGGGCAGGAUUGACAUUGUUAGAUUCAACGAUCGAAAAUGAUUUGAUACUGUGAGGUACCAGUACCUCGAGGUAUUUUUUUGUUGGACCGGAGCAAAUAUCAUCAUUAGUACCUUGUAAUCUUGCGAGACGGCCUCGUAGAAGCUGCUCCAUGGAGUUAUGUAGUCGAACUGCAGGAUCGGAGCAGAGGACGCGACGGCGCCAAUGGUGACAUGGGGAUACUUUAGCCUGAACCAUGAAGCCAACACUGCAAACAACAAGCAAAACAACAAAAAAAAAAGGAUUAGUUCAUCCUAAUCUCGCUAAUCCUAAUACGAACAAAACCCCACGACGGCCAAUGUCAGACACGCAGUACAACAAUUAUGGUAACUUUAUGAAUCAUCCGUGUGUUUAUAAUCUAAGAGAUCCAGAUCCACGCCGCAACGAACAAAACAAAAAACACAUGACACAUGCUAAGUUCCUUAAUAGUAACUUUUAACUAUGCAUGUAAAUACAAAGCCUCGUCGUUCCGUUUAUGCUUAUACUUACUUGUAAGUCUAAAUUUAAAUUUUAAAACUUAAUUUUAAGUUAAUUUCGUGGUUUUCCAUCAGAAUUUAUUUUACAACAUUUUAUCUUGAAUCGUGCUAAGGACACGUGUAAAAAUGUUUUAUCCAUAAAUUAUUGUUUUUACUAAUAAAUCGUUUGGAUAAGCAAAUUAGUAGCGGAAAUAAUGGGACUGACAUUUUUUUUAAAUUCAUUUUUAGAAAUAAUGGAACUCACAUUUGUUUAGAUUUAUAAUUAGAAAUAAUGGGACUCACAUUCGUUUAGAUUCAUUGUCAGAGAUUGUUAUAUUAUGAGGAAUGGGACUCACAUUUGUUUAGAUUCAUUUUCACAUUUGUUUAGAUUUAUUUUUAGAAACAAUAGAAUUCACAUUUGUUUAGAUUUAUAGUUAGAAAUUGUUAUAUUCUGAGGAACAUCUAUUAUGAGACGUAAUAGUUAAUUAAUUACAAUGAGAUUUGGAUCAAACAUUUUCUCUAAAAAGAAAUUAGAACAAACAUUUUUUAAAAGGAAAUUAUGAGCAUGUUGAGGAUUGAACGUGAGGCAUUAGAAUUGAAACCACACACCAAUUACCACUGCACUGAUAGUGCAUCUCAAUACGUAAUAGUUAAUUUAAUUAUUGGUGACUUACUGCCGCCGUAGGAGCCACCGAAGACGACGACGGGGGAGGAGACGGCGGAGAGGUUGUGCUUGAGGCUGGUGAUGAGGACGGCGAAGUCGGCGAGCGCUUGCGUCGACGUCAGGUACCCCAGCUUCUCCGGCGAGCUGUUCGACUCGUUGCCGAACGGCUUCGACUCCCCGUAGAAUCGAUGCUGCUUGCUCAAAUCAUGCUCAUCAACCGUAAGUACGGUGUUAAUUCAGUGUGAUUAGUGAUGUGUGAUUGCUUGCCUCGAUGAAGACGAGCAGGGCGCCGAAGCUGGGCGCGAUGUCGAACAUGAAGCCGGUGUUGGUGGCGAACCACUCGAUGUCGCCCUCGUUGCCGGUGUACACGAAUAUCGGCCCGGCCGGCGUCUCGCCGGCGGCGGCGCUCCGCCGCCAGAAGGUGUCGUUGACGAGGUACUUCUGGUAGAAGACGGCCGACGCGUUGGGCGUGAAGGUGAAGUGGUCCAGCUCCUGCGGGAAGUAGUGCGCCGUGAACGGCUUCGCCGCCGCCGCUGUGCCGUUCCCUCCGGCCGCCGCCGCCGCCGCGGCGACGACAUACCUGCUGCCGCCGGCGGAGCUCGCCGGCCGCCGCUGCUGCAGAGCUUGCAGCUGCAGGGGAGGGACUCCGGGGAAGACGGGGCUAGCUGCAGCUGCUGCAGAGGGGGCUGCGACGAGGAGGAGGAGGAGAGCUGCUGCUAUGGCGGCGAGAGGGUGGAGUGGCGAGGCGGGUGCCGCCAUUUUUGCAGCUCGUCCGUCUCACUCGCUCGUGUGGGGGUUUAUUAAAGGAGCAGAGAUGCUCUGCCAUGUCGGGCCCACAUGUCGGUGCCCCAAACGGCAGGUAAGACGUCGGAGUAUGGUAGUACGUAUUUUGUGGAAUCUGUGUCCGGCCUUGCAUAUAUUGCAUGCAAAUCGUUCUGAUGCUUUCGUGAGUUUUAUCCUUAAAAAAAAAGGCGAAUACUAGGAAAUAACUUAAUAUCAAAUAAUUAGAAGGGGUGAUACUUCGAACCCAGAUCGUCUAGCCCACCACCUUAUGAAGUUAGCCGAAAAAUUCUUAUGUGUUUCUCCUUCCGAUUUGAACAAGAAUAUAUACUAAAGAUUAAUUGUCAUUUAAAUUGACGGACUUUGGGUCCAACGACUUUGGAUCAUAGCGUGUUACGUCUGAGCUCUAGGAUAUUGUCAUUUGGUUUGUGGUCUUGUGGACAAUAUCGUAGCCUCGUAGGAGACUCGGCUAUUACAACAUGUAUCAGCAAUACAAUGUGUCCCUGCAUCAAAAGAUACAGCUACCUCUAGCAUUUAAAUUUGUUCAAAAUAUGACUAUUUUUUCUUAUUAAUUUCAACUGAUCACAACAAUCGCCAAUUAAUUUCUUCAUCAUUUUCUUAUCUCAACCAAUUACAACCAUUCGCCACAUCACUUUACCUACUUUAUUAAUCUUCGUGCUUGCAUAGUUUCAAAGGUAGGAGUAACUAUAUUCUGGGAUGGACAGAGAAAAUGAGAGAAUGUUUAUGGUAGUUGAUCUUAAACGCAUUUGCUCCUAAGCCUCUUUUGGAAUGCAAGGAAACUCAGACACAAAACAUGGAUAAAAUUACAGAAAAUAAACUAAUCUAUAUAGCAUACUAUAAAAAUUCUUACAUUUUAAAAAGAGCACCUAAGAUCGAAAGGCUGAAAAUUAUUUCGAGGCAUGGAACCCCAUUUGCCUUUAUUAAAGAAACACGCUCUCUACUAGUACACAAGUCCGGAUAUCGUCCACACACAAGGUGCCGAUGCAGACCGGCUGCAUCAUUCCUAACGCAACCGGACGCUCUAGAGUCUAGAAACAAUCAACAAGAGAGAAAAUUGGCUUCUAGAGUGACAUGGACAGAUUGUUUGCCUGUUGAAGCUUGCACAUGUGGAUUACCUCGAGGAUAAUCCCCCGAAAUGUGGGGAAAAUAAAGUAAUUAAAUGGUCUCUCUCUCUCUCUCUCUCUCUCUCUCUCUCUCUCAAAUGACAAAAUGAUCUCUUUUGUGUAUAUAUCAUUAUCCUAAGCAAAUCCAGUUGAUCAUAUUCAGUCAUGGGUCCAUUCAUGUUGUCCAAUCCAAAUCAGCUGCAAAGCUAGGCUAAGCAUCACGCGUCAAAGGCGUUUGGAAUAUUUCAUCCAAUGCGUGUAGUGUGUGGAAACAUAGGAAUUAUAAUGGUAUUGGGCUGAUUGAUUGCUUGCACAAGGCUCAUCUUGCCUCUUAUACGUAGUAGAUGCAGUGUCUUUUCAAAAAAGCUUUUUUUCUUUCUUUGUUUGAUGGAAAAGCGUUUGCAGGUUAUCAGUGGAGUGAGCCAGAAUGACCUCACGAGUUUGUUUGAUGAAAAAUGUUCCAUUUGUCUCGUAUGUGGUCAAAAGGAACAUGUAAAUUCCUGCUUAAAUUGGACCCUUUUCAUGUACUAAAUAAAAUACAUGCAUUCGAAAACUUGCAAUUCUCCUGUAGAGAUCAGAUAGAGACAUCUCAGUGCAAUCAAGCAUCUUAGUGACAGGAAUCUGCCGACGGGGCAGGCUGAUGAGGGUAUUGUUUGAGCCCAUCAUGUGGCCGUGGACUAGUUGGGCUUUGUUUGGGCCCACAACUGGUGUCAAUGAUCCCAAGAUUUGACCUUCAGCUGCAAAAAGGAGACAGCUCAGAGCUCCAUCAUAGCGGCAAUCUACGUUGCCAUGAACUUCUGCACGGCUAAAUGUUUUGCCCUUUCCCUACUCUCCCGUGCUCUAGCGUCAGCUUCAGAAACAAAAUCUACUGCCAAGUAAACGUAACAAAUGCACCUCAAUUGAUUAGGUUUUCUACGAUGAAAAACAACCCAUCCAAGUUUAAAUUCUAAACUUGACAUAAAUGCAUGCUCAUAUUUAUGAUUAGUUAAUUUUUUUCAAAGGUAAACAAUAUACCUGUUAGUAGCGAGACAUCCAUAGUGGCAUCGUCAAUCUUUCAAACUAGUCUUUCGAAGGUGUUUAUAAGAGUAAGAAUAUGCAUAUUUAUUUAUAAGGAUGAGUAUGCGUGCAUUGUGAGCGGUUGCAUUUAUAUUGUGUUUCUCAUAAAAAGGAACAAAAUUUACCCACAUCCCAAUGAGCGAGCGUGGUAACUUAUCAAUCUCAAUAUAUAUCGGACCAAUCUUAUGAAGAUGCUAACUUAGGAUGGGACAUUUAAGAACCUAGGAUGGGAGGUUCUUAUAUUUUGGGACGGAGGGAGUAUUUAUUAAGAUAAGUGCGAUUCGUUAUGAACAAUUGUAUUUAUACCAUGUUUCUUACUAACUCCGUCCCAAAAUAAGUGCAGUCAUGGAUAUCCGUGCCCAACGUUUGAUCGUCCGUCUUAUUUGAAAAAAAUUUGAAAAUAUUUAGUCAUACAUAGAGUACUAUUCACGUUUUAUCAUCUAAUAGCAAUAAAAAUACUAAUCAUAAAAAAUUCAAAUAAAACGAACAGUCAAACGUUGAACGUGAAUAGUGCAAAACUGCACUUAUUUUGGGACGGAGGGAAUAAAAAAUCUACUAACGUCCCAAGGAACGAGCGUAGACGGUGACAACUCGCACGUCAUUAGUUGCAACCGUACAUCAUUCCCGUGCUACAGGGCGCCCCUUGAUCAGUCGUGUCAGAACACUCUGCUGCAAACGGUCAAAAGAAGCAGGUUACCACCAUGUCCACUAGUGAUGGUUACCACCAAAAUCUACCCAGUUGACGAACGCACAGACAGUGUCAGUCAUCACAAGGCAACAAGAUACUCAAACUGACCUUGCAAAAAGCUCAGUGAUUUUUCAAUCACUCGCUGCGGUCCUGCACAAGAUCUGGAAAUCUAGGCGUCGGAGAGUCCCCAACUGAUCAUGUGAGUGCAUGAAAGCACUAAGCAGACAAUGCUGUGCCACAGCAGUGGCUUGUACAAUGCAGCAGUACAGCAGAAUAGUUGAUCAAAUGAGUGCAAUAGUGGAUCAAAUGAGUGAUGCACUUUUACCGAUAAACACUGAAGGAAUAUGAUAGCGAUAAGAUAACAGAUCCACUAUAUAGUGUCACCCAUGAAAGAGUUGAAACCCUAUAAUCAGUUCCACAGUAAACUCCAACAAGUGCACGGAUUUAGCAGCAAAGAUCAAAUAGGCUUUUCACUCUUAAGGCAAAUAUGAAGGGUAGAGCUAUCAGAUUAAUAUACAAGGCACGUCAGAUCACUAUUACAUCACAAAUAUUGCAUUGGCAAAUAGUUCACUGCCAAAACCAUAAUGCCGGUUGUUGGGAGAAGACAACAACAAUAAAACAAAACAAGAAAAAAAGUGCUGGUAAAGGCCGAAGAUAAAUAAUACAUAAAAGGAAGGCUUAUUUUGUUCUUUGGAACUAUGUAUAUACAAGAUGGUGGCCUUGUUUGUAACCUGUCUAAGUAGGGAAAUCAGCACAGACAUGUGACAAUGCUCAAAGCAUUUUAUCCCGUGAUAAUUAUUAUGAGGAUUUAGAUGGUUGGUACCUCCAAUUUGCAUGAAUCCUUUCUGUUCGAAGUCUGCCAGGAAAACAAAACAAUGCGAUGUGUAUGUAUAAUAAGCGUCAAUACAAAUACAGAGAAUAAAAGAAACUAAAACUUGCAAACUAUCAAAAUAAGAGGGGAGAUUUUUGCCUUUCGCCACGGACUUGUUACAUCAUCUCAUACAUGCCACUUGAUUGGGUCAGCGCAACAUGUAAGUGCAAAUUCAGUGGCAUAAAUGAAAGUAAAAAUGUGUUUUAUGAAUCCGAAAAAAUCAGUUCUAUACAAUUAUUAGCUUCUCAGCAAACAGAAAAAUACCAGACAUGGAUCUAUACAGAUACAAUACAACCAUAAGAAACUAAGGACUGUUUUGGGCAAAACAUGGUUGAAAACAAAGAAAAUGUACUAGAAUGGCUCAGGUUAACCCAAACUGUCAAUUCCCAACAGUUACAAAUGCCCACGGUUCUGGCAACAUGUACAUACUACCUCCGUCCCUCAGUACAUGAACAAAUGAGUAGAAUCAUUUAACAUGUACUAACAAGAAAUAGCUGCAACCGGUAACUUGCUGGGGAGCAAGGCCUCCUAGUAUGACAGCCGAUUGAACAUAUUACCAAGGAACCAAGGAGAUGCCAAAUGAUCUCCAAGGGGCAGUCAAAUCAUCACAGCCACCAGUUCCAAAUGCCUGUGUGGUUACAACCGUAAGAAACUAAGGACUGUUUUGAGUAAAACAUGGUUGAAAACAAAGGAAAUGUACUUGAAUGGCUCAGAUUAACAACUGUCAAUUCCAAACAGUUACAAAUGCCCUUGGUUCUGGCAACAUGUAACUACUCCCUCCAUCCCAGUGUACAUGAACAAAUGAGUAGAAUCAUUCAUUAUAGCAUGUACUGACAAGAAAUAGCUGCAACUGGUAACUUGCUGGGGAGCAAGGCCUCCUAGCAUGACAGCUAAUUGAACAUAUUACCAAGGAACCGAGAAGAUGCCAAAUGAUCUCCAAUGGGCAGCCAAAUCAUCAUAGCCAUUCAAGAAAUAAAAAAAUAACAAACAAUGAAAUAUGCAUCCACAGAAGUAUGCUGUGAAAGUAUGAAACAACAAAAAGAAAGAUCACGCUAAAGCUAACUGAAUAAACAGUUAACAUUCCUUUAUUAGUGUUACAUUACUUAAUUUUAGAAAAAAGAAACAAUUAAGCUCCUAUGAGCAAGUAUUGUCAUCACCGUGCAGUAAGCAAGUUAGACUACAAGUAUUGCCCUGGUACCAUAACAUCCCCCCAUUUAUGAUUUAUUCAUUCUGGGAAGACUUCGUGCUCAUUAAAGUGCCUGCUGGUAAAAAAGUAAGAACUAAAAUACCAUUGAGCUGAUUACCAACAGGAUAUUGCAAUGGGUAAAAAGUAGCAAACUGCCAUCGCGAGACAUGCUUGCUAAUUUGCCAGAGCACUGUAAAAUGUCGGUUGUGGGAGAAGAUAACACGAAUAAAACAAAAGGAAAUAAGUUGCGCUGAAGUGCUGAUAAAGACUGAAGAUAAAUAAUACACAAAGACGACUAUUUUUUGGUCGGUAGGGAUAUCAGCACAGGCAUGUGACAAUGCUCAAUGCACCCAUUGGAAAUUAGUAUUGAGAAUUCAAACGGUUGGUACCUCCAAUGGGUGAAUCCUUUCUGCUCUAAAUCUAGCCAGGAAAACAAAAUGAUGCAACGCGUUUGUGCAAAUUCCGUGGAAUACAGAAAAUAAAAUAAAUUUACAAACUCAAAUAUCAAAACAAGAGGGGAGAUUUUUUGCCUUUCGCCACUGGAUAAGAUCAAGGCAACGUGCAAGUGCGAAUUCAGUGGCAUACAUGAAAGGCAAAAUGAGAUUUAUGAAUCCAGACAACUCGGAUCCAUACAAGUACAACCAGGAAAACUAAAGACUGCUUUUGGGUAAAAUAAUGAUUGAAAAGAAAAGAAAUAUAUUUGAAUGGCUCAGAUUAACCUAAAUGGCAAUUCCAACAGUUCUGAAUGCCCGUGGUUCCGGCAACAUGUAAGUACUCCCUCCGUCCACUUUGUACAUGAACAAAAUGAUGAGUAGAAUCAUUCGUUAUAGCAUGUACUGAGAAGAAAUAGCUGCAACUGGUAACUUGCUGGGGAGCAAGGCCUCCUAGUAUCACAGCUAAUUGACAUAGGCAUGUCCUGUAGCAAAAUUUGCCUUGAACAUAUUACCAAGGAACCAAGAAGAUGCCGAAUGAUCUCCAAUGGGCAGCAAAAUCAUCA
rnacentral:lncRNA from 1 species